rnacentral:misc_RNA from 1 species
GGCUUAGAUGUGUGAGAGUAAGAGACCCUGAAAUUAUCUCACAGAGAUCCGAUGGUGUCUUUCGCAGGAAAAUCACAACUCGUAUUGAUAGACGCAUCGUCUCUUCUGCUACAGAGAAAGAAACGUCUCAUCCUCAAUCCAAUCGCCUUACCAGGAAUUCUGAGGCAGCAACACUCCGGUCUGGUACGACUGAGAACCGGAAAUCGGCGUCACCGGAGAAAGAAGACAGGUAUUACACGACAAGAGGGUCAAUGAGUGUGGACGAGAAUGGGAAGAUUUCAAUUGAUGGUAACAAUGGAGAGGAUAAAGGACACGUUUGGCCAAAGCUAUAUAUCACA